rnacentral:rRNA from 1 species
UUGGNAACAACCUCUUACCCAUGUCUUUUGAGUACUUACGUUUCCUCGGGGGGUUUCGCCCGCCNUUUGGACAAUUUAAACCAUUUGCAGUUGCAUCAGCGUCUGAAAAACAUAAUAGUUACAACUUUCAACAACGGAUCUCUUGGUUCUGGCAUCGAUGAAGAACGCAGCGAAAUGCGAUAAGUAGUGUGAAUUGCAGAAUUCAGUGAAUCAUCGAAUCUUUGAACGCACAUUGCGCCCCUUGGUAUUCCAUGGGGCAUGCCUGUUCGAGCGUCAUUUGUACCUUCAAGCUUUGCUUGGUGUUGGGUGUUUGUCUCGCCUUUGCGUGUAGACUCGCCUUAAAAGAAUGGAGCCGGCGUAUUGAUUUCGGAGCGCAGUACCUUUCGCGCUUUGCACUCAUAACGACGACGUCCAAAAAGUACAUUUUUAACACUCUUGACCUCGGAUCAGGUAGGGAU